rnacentral:rRNA from 1 species
GACAGAGGGUGCAAACGUUGUUCGGAAUUACUGGGCGUAAAGCGAGUGUAGGCGGUCUUGAAAGUCGGAUGUGAAAGCCCUGGGCUCAACCCAGGAAGUGCAUUCGAUACUCCAAGGCUAGAGUACUGGAGAGGUGGGUGGAAGUCUCGGUGUAGAGGUGAAAUUCGUAGAUAUCAGGAAGAACACCCGUGGCUAAGGCGGCUCUCUAGUACGGUACUGACGCUGAGACGCGAAAGCGUGGGGAGCGAACAGG